rnacentral:rRNA from 1 species
AGUCAACCUACCCUAUGGACGGGAAUAAUCUCGGGAAACUGAGGAUAAUGCCCGAUAGAACACUAUGCCUGGAACGGCUUGUGUUCCAAAUGAUUUAUCGCCGUAGGAUGGGACUGCGGCCUAUCAGUUUGUUGGUGAGGUAAUGGCCCACCAAGACUAUUACAGGUACGGGCUCUGAGAGGAGUAGCCCGGAGAUGGGUACUGAGACACGGACCCAGGCCCUAUGGGGCGCAGCAGGCGAGAAAACUUUGCAAUGUGCGAAAGCACGACAAGGUUAAUCCGAGUGGUUCCUGCUAAAGGAACCUUUUGACGGUCCUAAAAACACCGUUGAAUAAGGGGUGGGCAAGUUCUGGUGUCAGCCGCCGCGGUAAAACCAGCACCUCAAGUGGUCAGGAUGAUUAUUGGGCCUAAAGCAUCCGUAGCCGGCUCUGUUAGUUUUCGGUUAAAUCUGUGCGCUCAACGUACAGGCUGCCGGGAAUACUGCAGAGCUAGGGAGUGGGAGAGGUAGACGGUACUCGGUAGGAAGGGGUAAAAUCCUUUGAUCUAUUGAUGACCACCUGUGGCGAAGGCGGUCUACCAGAACACGUCCGACGGUGAGGGAUGAAAGCUGGGGGAGCAAACCGGAUUAGAUACCCGGGUAGUCCCAGCUGUAAACUAUGCAAACUCAAUGAUGCACUGGCUCGAAGCCAAUGCAGUGUU